GCCCGGAUGGCGGAAUUGGCAGACGCGCUAGCUUCAGGAGCUAGUAUCGGUGACGAUGUGCAGGUUCAAGUCCUGUUCCGGGCA
rnacentral:tRNA from 1 species